rnacentral:rRNA from 1 species
CCUACGGGAGGCAGCAGUGGGGGAUAUUGCACAAUGGGGGGAACCCUGAUGCAGCGACGCCGCGUGGGUGAAGAAGCGCCUCGGCGCGUAAAGCCCUGUCAGCAGGGAAGAAAAUGACGGUACCUGAAGAAGAAGCCCCGGCUAACUACGUGCCAGCAGCCGCGGGAAUACGUAGGGGGCAAGCGUUAUCCGGAUUUACUGGGUGUAAAGGGGGCGCAGACGGCGAGGCAAGCCAGGAGUGAAAGCCCGGGGCCCAACCCCGGGACUGCUCUUGGAACUGCGUGGCUGGAGUGCAGGAGGGGCAGGCGGAAUUCCUGGUGUAGCGGUGAAAUGCGUAGAGAUCAGGAGGAACACCGGUGGCGAAGGCGGCCUGCUGGACUGCAACUGACGUUGAGGCCCGAAAGCGUGGGGAGCAAACAGGAUUAGAUACCCUAGUAGUC